GGUUACCAGGGUUAGAGCAGCCGUUAGAGGUCCUGCUUAACCAUUGGUGGGAGUCACAGUGGGCCCCAUCCCUAAGCGAGCAGCUGUCGUCAAGCUGCCGUUAGAGAUCCUGUUUAGCCAUUGGUUGGUGCUGCAGUUGGCCCCUCCCCCAAGCGUGCAACUGUCAGUGAGGAACCGUUAGCAGACCCAUCUCACCCAACGGUCCCCAGAGUGGUGGUCAGUGAUCCUUGGUGGCCGUCAGGUGGAGAGUGAGGCUCAGGAAUACCUUGGCCACUUUGGAAAAAUGUUCCCUUGAAGAAAAGUCCCAUGUUCCUGUGGACUUACUCUUUGAUGAGCUACUAUUACAUCUUUCUGCUGUUGUUGAAUGCAUCCCUAUGUGGAUUCUUCACCACUGAGCCACCAGGAAAGCCCAGCAAGUAUUAAUACCUAUCCUAGCAAAAACUGGGGAGAACAAGUAUGAGAAAAAUUAUUUAAAACCUAAAAUUACUUCUUUGGCCACAUUGUUUUGGUGGAAAUUUAUUGGAACCUCUAA
rnacentral:lncRNA from 1 species